rnacentral:rRNA from 1 species
UACAGAGGGUGCAAGCGUUAAUCGGAAUUACUGGGCGUAAAGCGUGCGUAGACGGUUGCGUAAGUCAGAUGUGAAAGCCCCGGGCUCAACCUGGGGAUUGCAUUUGAGACUGCGUAGCUAGGGUGCGGAAGAGGGAAGCGGAAUUUCCGGUGUAGCGGUGAAAUGCGUAGAUAUCGGAAGGAACACCAGUGGCGAAAGCGGCUUCCUGGUCCAGCACCGACGUUCAGGCACGAAAGCGUGGGGAGCAAACAGG